CGUCUUUGUCAGAAAAGGGCCAGCAGGGGGCACCAAACCCGCACGUUUCUGCCGGGAGAGGGCGUCUGGGCCACAUCAUGCUGAACAAGAGCCGAGAAGUAGAAUCGCCAGUGUCAAGCCGUCCACGUUGUGGGAUGCCCACUGUUCCCCCAGGAUCACUCAAGACCCUGUGACUUGUGGUCACUGAUGAGUGGACCAAGUGAAGUCCACAAGAUGGCUGCUGUGGCUCCAGGCAUCACGUCCACAUGCAAAUCCAUCCAGAGGCAGGAACUGGGAAUAGGCUUGGAGGUGGCCAGGACAGCAAGUGGGCUGUCUGUAUAAACCUCCCCUCCACUUGGGAAGGAAAAUCACCCCCCAAGUCGAUUUUCUGUCCAUCUUAUUGAUCAGAGAGCGUUAUAAAUUCACCCAUUAAAUAAUCUGGACAAGGGG
rnacentral:lncRNA from 1 species